rnacentral:rRNA from 1 species
UGGGGAAUAUUGCGCAAUGGGGGAAACCCUGACGCAGCGACGCCGCGUGUGGGAUGAAGGUCUUCGGAUUGUAAACCACUGUCGCGAGGGACGAAGCUCUGACGGUACCUCGAAAGGAAGCACCGGCUAACUCUGUGCCAGCAGCCGCGGUAAUACAGAGGGUGCGAGCGUUGUCCGGAAUCACUGGGCGUAAAGGGCGCGUAGGCGGCCCGGUAAGUAGGGGGUGAAAUCUCAUGGCUCAACUGUGAGGCUGCCUUCUAGACUGCCAGGCUUGAGCACAGUAGAGGCGAGUGGAAUUCCCGGUGUAGCGGUGGAAUGCGUAGAGAUCGGGAAGAACAUCGGUGGCGAAGGCGGCUCGCUGGGCUGUUGCUGACGCUGAGGCGCGAAAGCGUGGGGAGCAAACAGGAUUAGAUACCCAGGUAGUCCCUGAGCGGGCUGGCAAGGCGCAU